GAUGAAGAACGUAGUGAAAUGCGAUACGUAAUGUGAAUUGCAGAAUUCAGUGAAUCAUCGAGUCUUUGAACGCACAUUGCGCCCCCUGGUAUUCCGGGGGGCAUGCCUGUCCGAGCGUCAUUGCUGCCCUCAAGCACGGCUUGUGUGUUGGGCCUCCGUCCUCCUCCCGGGGGACGGGCCCGAAAGGCAGCGGCGGCACCGCGUCCGGUCCUCGAGCGUAUGGGGCUUCGUCACCCGCUCUUGUAGGCCCGGUCGGCGCUUGCCGACACAUCAAUCUUUUUUCCAGGUUGACCUCGGAUCAGGUAGGGAUACCCGCUGAACUUAAGCAUAUCAAAAGCGGAGGA
rnacentral:misc_RNA from 1 species